CAAAACACUAUGUUGAUGGUAAGAAAGGUACACCACUACGUGGAACUCACCUUUAUGCUGCUCCUGAGCUUGAUGAUACUGCAUCGGAUCAUACUGAUAAGGCUGAUAUAUAUAGCCUAGGGGUAAUACUUGUGGAGAUGUUCCACUCCUUUUCUACUGGGCAAGAGAAAGGCCAUGUUUUGAGAGGACUGAGUAACGGAAAUUACCCAACUAAAUGGGAAGGGGACACGGUGCUUCUUAAGAGGCUCACCGCAUCAUCUCCUUCUGAUCGUCCAUCAGCAACAGAAAUCUUGGAUUACAUGGCCAAGCGCCAGUAAAUUGGAGCUGCAGGAACCCAAAUGUCAUCUUGAACUA